rnacentral:lncRNA from 1 species
AAACCCUAAUGCUGACUAAAUGGAAAAGUGUUCAGUUUAUGGUUUAAAACCCUAAUGCUGACUAAAGGAAAAAGUUCAGUUUAGGGUUUAAAACACUAAUGCUGACUGAAUGGAAAAAGUUCAGUUUAGGGUUUAAAACCCUAAUGCUGACUGAAUGGAAAAAGUUCAGUUUAGGAUUUAAAACCCUAAUGCUGACUAAAUGGAAAAUUCAGUUUAGGGUUUAAAACCCUAAUGCUGACUGAAUGGAAAAAGUUCAGUUUAGGGUUUAAAACCCUGAUGCUGACUACAAGGAAAAGAGUUCAGUUC